AUUGAACGCUGGCGGCAGGCUUAACACAUGCAAGUCGAGCGGAUGAAAGUAGCUUGCUACUGGAUUUAGCGGCGGACGGGUGAGUAAUACUUAGGAAUCUGCCUAUUAGUGGGGGACAACAUCUCGAAAGGGAUGCUAAUACCGCAUACGCCCUACGGGGGAAAGCAGGGGAUCGUAAGACCUUGCGCUAAUAGAUGAGCCUAAGUCGGAUUAGCUAGUUGGUGGGGUAAAGGCCUACCAAGGCGACGAUCCGUAGCUGGUCUGAGAGGAUGAUCAGCCACACUGGAACUGAGACACGGUCCAGACUCCUACGGGAGGCAGCAGUGGGGAAUAUUGGACAAUGGGCGAAAGCCUGAUCCAGCCAUGCCGCGUGUGUGAAGAAGGCCUUCGGGUUGUAAAGCACUUUAAGCGAGGAGGAAUGGCUGAGGGUUAAUAGUACACGGCGUUGACGUUACCUACAGAAGAAGCACCGGCUAACUCUGUGCCAGCCGCCGCCGUAAUAC
rnacentral:rRNA from 1 species